rnacentral:rRNA from 1 species
GAUGAACGCUAGCUACAGGCUUAACACAUGCAAGUCGAGGGGAAACGAUAGAGAAAGCUUGCUUUUUCUAGGCGUCGACCGGCGCACGGGUGAGUAACGCGUAUCCAACCUGCCCAUCACUUGGGGAUAACCUUGCGAAAGUAAGACUAAUACCCAAUGACGUCUCUAGAAGACAUCUGAAAGAGAUUAAAGAUUUAUCGGUGAUGGAUGGGGAUGCGUCUGAUUAGCUUGUUGGCGGGGCAACGGCCCACCAAGGCGACGAUCAGUAGGGGUUCUGAGAGGAAGGUCCCCCACAUUGGAACUGAGACACGGUCCAAACUCCUACGGGAGGCAGCAGUGAGGAAUAUUGGUCAAUGGGCGAGAGCCUGAACCAGCCAAGUAGCGUGCAGGAUGACGGCCCUAUGGGUUGUAAACUGCUUUUAUAAGGGAAUAAAGUGAGUCUCGUGAGACUUUUUGCAUGUACCUUAUGAAUAAGGACCGGCUAAUUCCGUGCCAGCAGCCGCCGCCG